UGAAAUGUUAUCCUGACGUCUACAAAAGGUUUAGGAAUCUGAUGUCAUUUUCUCCCUAUGAUUCACAUGUUGGCCUUUUCUGUAGAGGGGUUACCAAUUAUCUCUGGUGUAUGUUCCUGUUAAGGGUUCUCUACAAUUCGGAUACUGUAAAAUAUGUAAUUAGGAUGAUAGAGAUGGCUUCUAAUAUAGAGGGUCCCCUGUACCUCUUUUUCUUGG
rnacentral:lncRNA from 1 species